UAGGGAGGAAGGUAGUGUAGUUAACACCUGCAUUAUUUGACGUUACCUACAGAAGAAGCACCCGGCUAACUCCGUGCCAGCAGCCGCGGUAAUACGGGAGGGGUGCGAGCGUUAAUCGGAAUUACUGGGGCGUAAAGCGCAUGCAGGCGGCCUGUUAAGUCAGAUGUGAAAGACCCGGGGCGUUAACCUCGGAAUUGCAUUUGAAACUGGCAGGCUAGAGUCUUGUAGAGGGGGGUAGGAAUUUCAGGUGUAGCGGUGAAAUGCGUAGAGAUCUGAAGGAAUACCAGUGGCGAAGGCGGCCCCCUGGACAAAGACUGACGCUCAGAUGCGAAAGCGUGGGGAGCAAACAGGAUUAGAUACCCUGGUAG
rnacentral:rRNA from 1 species